GACGAACGCUGGCGGCGUGCUUAACACAUGCAAGUCGAACGGAAAGGCUCCUUCGGGGGUGCUCGAGUGGCGAACGGGUGAGUAACACGUGGGUGAUCUGCCCUGCACUUUGGGAUAAGCCUGGGAAACUGGGUCUAAUACCGGAUAGGACUCCGAGAUGCAUGUCUUGGGGUGGAAAGCUUUUGCGGUGUGGGAUGGGCCCGCGGCCUAUCAGCUUGUUGGUGGGGUGAUGGCCUACCAAGGCGACGACGGGUAGCCGGCCUGAGAGGGUGUCCGGCCACACUGGGACUGAGAUACGGCCCAGACUCCUACGGGAGGCAGCAGUGGGGAAUAUUGCACAAUGGGCGCAAGCCUGAUGCAGCGACGCCGCGUGAGGGAUGACGGCCUUCGGGUUGUAAACCUCUUUCACUAGGGACGAAGCGCAAGUGACGGUACCUAAAGAAGAAGCACCGGCCAACUACGUGCCAGCCGCCGCGGUAA
rnacentral:rRNA from 1 species